UACGUAGGUGGCAAGCGUUGUCCGGAUUUAUUGGGCGUAAAGGGCGCGCAGGUGGUGUGCUAAGUCUGCCGUGAAAUCUCCCGGCUCAACUGGGAGGGUGCGGUGGAGACUGGUACGCUUGAGGUACCUAGAGGUCGGUGGAAUUCCCGGUGUAGUGGUGAAAUGACGUAGAGAUCGGGAGGAACACCAGUGGCGAAGGCGGCCGGCUGGGGGUGACCUGACGCUGAGGCGGCGAAAGCCGUGGGGAGCGAACCGG
rnacentral:rRNA from 1 species